rnacentral:tRNA from 1 species
GGAAAUGUGGCUCAGUGAUAGAGCACUUGCCUGGCACACAUGGUGCCCUGGAUACAAUUCCCAGCAUGGCAA